UGGCGGCGUGCCUAAUACAUGCAAGUCGAACGCUUCUUUUUCCACCGGAGCUUGCUCCACCGGAAAAAGAGGAGUGGCGAACGGGUGAGUAACACGUGGGUAACCUGCCCAUCAGAAGGGGAUAACACUUGGAAACAGGUGCUAAUACCGUAUAACAAUCGAAACCGCAUGGUUUUGAUUUGAAAGGCGCUUUCGGGUGUCGCUGAUGGAUGGACCCGCGGUGCAUUAGCUAGUUGGUGAGGUAACGGCUCACCAAGGCCACGAUGCAUAGCCGACCUGAGAGGGUGAUCGGCCACAUUGGGACUGAGACACGGCCCAAACUCCUACGGGAGGCAGCAGUAGGGAAUCUUCGGCAAUGGACGAAAGUCUGACCGAGCAACGCCGCGUGAGUGAAGAAGGUUUUCGGAUCGUAAAACUCUGUUGUUAGAGAAGAACAAGGAUGAGAGUAACUGUUCAUCCCUUGACGGUAUCUAACCAGAAAGCCACGGCUAACUACGUGCCAGCAGCCGCGGUAAUACGUAGGUGGCAAGCGUUGUCCGGAUUUAUUGGGCGUAAAGCGAGCGCAGGCGGUUUCUUAAGUCUGAUGUGAAAGCCCCCGGCUCAACCGGGGAGGGUCAUUGGAAACUGGGAGACUUGAGUGCAGAAGAGGAGAGUGGAAUUCCAUGUGCAGCGGUGAAAUGCGUAGAUAUAUGGAGGAACACCAGUGGCGAAGGCGGCUCUCUGGUCUGUAACUGACGCUGAGGCUCGAAAGCGUGGGGAGCAAACAGGAUUAGAUACCCUGGUAGUCCACGCCGUAAACGAUGAGUGCUAAGUGUUGGAGGGUGUCCGCCCUUCAGUGCUGCAGCUAACGCAUUAAGCACUCCGCCUGGGGAGUACGACCGCAAGGUUGAAACUCAAAGGAAUUGACGGGGGCCCGCACAAGCGGUGGAGCAUGUGGUUUAAUUCGAAGCAACGCGAAGAACCUUACCAGGUCUUGACAUCCUUUGACCACUCUAGAGAUAGAGCUUCCCCUUCGGGGGCAAAGUGACAGGUGGUGCAUGGUUGUCGUCAGCUCGUGUCGUGAGAUGUUGGGUUAAGUCCCGCAACGAGCGCAACCCUUAUUGUUAGUUGCCAUCAUUCAGUUGGGCACUCUAGCAAGACUGCCUGUGACAAACCGGAGGAAGGUGGGGAUGACGUCAAAUCAUCAUGCCCCUUAUGACCUGGGCUACACACGUGCUACAAUGGGAAGUACAACGAGUCGCGAAGUCGCGAGGCUAAGCUAAUCUCUUAAAGCCAUUCUCAGUUCGGAUUGUAGGCUGCAACUCGCCUACAUGAAGCCGGAAUCGCUAGUAAUCGCGGAUCAGCACGCCGCGGUGAAUACGUUCCCGGGUCUUGUACACACCGCCCGUCACACCACGAGAGUUUGUAACACCCAAAGUCGGUGAGGUAACCUUUUGGAGCCAGCCGCCUAAGGUGGGAUAGAUGAUUGGGGUGAAAA
rnacentral:rRNA from 1 species